rnacentral:rRNA from 1 species
AUGUGAACGAGGUGUGGGCAGUGUAGAAGCCGUCUGUGCCGGAGCAAACGCGAUAAGUUCACCGCCUGGGGAGUACGGUCGCAAGGCUAAAACCCAAAGGAAUUGACGGGGGCCCGCACAAGCAGCGGAGCGUGUGGUUUAAUUCGAUGCAACGCGAAGAACCUUACCUGGGCUUGACAUGUACGUAGUAGUGAAGGGAAACCGGAACGAGCCUUCGGGCAGCGUAGACAGGUGCUGCAUGGCUGUCGUCAGCUCGUGUCGUGAGAUGUUGGGUUAAGUCCCGCAACGAGCGCAACCCGUGUUGCUAGUUACAAGUGUCUAGCGAGACUGCCGGUAACAAGCCGGAGGAAGGUGCGGAUGAUGUCAAGUCAGCAUGGCCUAUAUGUCCAGGGCUACACACACGCUACAAUGGCUGGUACAAAGAGAAGCGAAAGGGAGACCUGAAGCGAAUCUCAUCAAAGCCAGUCAUAGUUCGGAUUGCAGGCUGCAACUCGCCUGCAUGAAGUCGGAGUUGCUAGUAACCGCAGGUCAGCAAUACUGCGGUGAAUACGUUCCCGGGCCUUGUACACAC